CUCAACCUACGGGGGGCAGCAGUCGGGAAUAUUGCGCAAUGGAGGAGACUCUGACGCAGUGACGCCGCGUAUAGGAAGAAGGUCUUCGGAUUGUAAACUAUUGUCGUUAGGGAAGAAAAAGGACAGUACCUAAGGAGGAAGCUCCGGCUAACCACGUGCCAGCAGCCGCGGUAAUACGUAGGGAGCGAGCGUUAUCCGGAUUUAUUGGGUGUAAAGGGUGCGUAGGCUGUUACGUAAGUCGUGUGUGAAAGGCGCGGGCUCAACCCGCGGACGGCACAUGAUACUGCGAGACUAGAGUAAUGGAG
rnacentral:rRNA from 1 species